GGAAGGAUCAUUAUCACAAAAUGAUUUUUAAGGUCUCUCUUAAUCCAGAGCCUUAAACCUCUUCUUAAACCAAUUUAAUUCAAAUGUGAAACUGUUCAUUUUGUUGUUGUUUUUUGUUUGAUUGAUGAUUGGCUCUCUGAGCCUUUCAGAAACCAAACAAAAAAAAAAACAACACUAUUCUUUUAACCAAUUGAACCCUUUUCUAAUUUAUUGUUAUUUUAUUUCUAUUUUAGUUCUGAAAUCUAUUAUAUUUCAAUAGCAAUAUUGAUGUAUGAUAAGUUACAUUACGAAACAAUAUUAAAUAAAACAACUCUUAGCAACGGAUAUCUUGGUUCUCGUAACGAUGAAGAACGCAGCGAAAUGCGAUACGUAAUGCGAAUUGCAGAAUUCAGUGAAUCAUCAAAUCUUUGAACGCAAAUUGCGCUUCUUGGAUAGGCCAGGAAGCAUGCCUCUUUGAGUAUCGUUUUCACCUCAGCUCGAUAGCGCACUUGUGUGCUAUUGGAUAAUGGGCUAUAUAUACUCUUGUCUGUAACAGGACAAGUGGCCUUAAAUGCAUGAGGGCAAUUUAACUGUAAAUUAACUGAACUUUAAGUUUUAGAUUUUGUAACGCAACGUUACAAAGCCUGAAUCUUGAUUUCAUACAUUUUAUGGUUCAAUUAUAGUGGAUAAAUUCUUUAUUUACUAUGGUGAAUUAGUAUGAUAUUAAUAUUCGUGGUUAUUCUAAAAGCAAAAGUUAUUAAUCAGUAUUACGAUCUAAUUGUCCUGAAAACUUCUUAGUUUUUCGCUAAGAACAUUUGUAAAGAAGCCUUCAUAAGCUUUUUUACAUGUACUACGAAAUUAAGAUCUCAAAUGAAGUAAGACUACCCGCUGAACUUAAGCAUAUUAUUAAGCGGAGGAAAAGAAACUAACAAGGAUGCCCUCAGUAACGGCGAGUGAAGCGGGCAAAGCUCAACCUGAAAAUCAGUGCUCCAAGCGGGGUAUCUGAAUUGUGGGCUACAGAUGCAUGAUCAGUGUGUGACCCAGGUAUAAAUCUUUUGAAACAAGGUAUCAUAGAGGGUGAGAAUCCCGUUUAUGACCUGGAGUUUUUCGCCACGUACGAUCUGCAGUCAUAGAGUCGAGUUGUUUGGGAUUGCAGCUCUAAAUGGGAGGUAAAUUUCUUCUAAAGCUAAAUAUCGACGAGAGACCGAUAGCGAACAAGUACCGUGAGGGAAAGAUGAAAAGAACUUUGAAAAGAGAGUUAAAAGUACUUGAAAUUGCUAAGAGGGAAGCACUGGAAACCAGUAAUUAUUGACCUAUGUAUUUUAUAGUAUUCGCUUCUGGAUUAUGCUUAUGAUAUGGUGCCCAAAGCCCAAUUAUAGGUAUAUGAAGGUGUGAGUAUGUUCGAUAUGUAUUGGUCAGAUCAGAAUCAAUUACGUUCGUGAGAGAAAGCUAUGGCAACGGUAGUUCUGUUUGGGGCAACUCAGAUGGAAUGUUUAGUGCUGUAGUGCUAUCAUGGAUUCGUGAUUGAGGUACAAUCGUAAUGCGCACCACUAGGUUAUCCGUUCCCUGACUCUAACAUGAUUCGAAAGCAUGCACAACAAAGUUGUUCGGUUUUCGGGUUUGUGUUACUAGAAAGGAUGAACGAGAAGCAUAAGCAUUCGAGAUUCUGAUGAAAUGGUUUUCAUUGACCCGUCUUGAAACACGGACCAAGGAGUCUAACAUAUAUGCGAGUAUUUGGGCCUGGAAACCCUUAUGCGCAAUGAAAGUGAAGGUUAACCUUGUUGUUAUCUGAGGUAGGAAUCUGUAGUUUCGACUAUAGAGGCACUAUCGACCGAUCAGUCACUUGUGGCAGAUUUGAGUAUGAGCAUAUCUGUUGGGACCCGAAAGAUGGUGAUCUAUGCCUGAACAGGGCGAAGCCAGGGGAAACUCUGGUGGAGGCUCGUAGCGAUACUGACGUGCAAAUCGUUCGUCUGAUUUGGGUAUAGGGGCGAAAGACUAAUCGAACCAUCUAGUAGCUGGUUCCCUC
rnacentral:misc_RNA from 1 species